AACCCGACCGGCUGAGGAGGGCCGGAGAGGCCUUGGCCAGAGCGAGGGCCCCGGGAGCCCAAAGCCGAGGCUCCGCUCGGAAGACGCCGCCUUCCAGAGCCUGACCUGCGGGAAGAACUUUGCACAGAGGGGCAAGCUGGCCGCCCACGGGCAGAGCCGCCAGGGCCAGGGGAUGCCGUCGCCGUCCUGAGGGCCGCGGGGGGGAGAGGAGAGCGCCGGAGAGGCGGCCGGCCGGAAAAGAAGGCGCCUUGAGAGUGGUCUUGGAAGCCGGAGGCCCGCCUGGCCUGCCUGGGAAAGGAGAAUAGAGGAAAGUGGGGGACGGGCGUCCUUCCCACGGGAACGUGGCUGCCACGGGGAGUCCCCUGGCGCUGUAAGAACUGGAGUCCCAUUGUGCGUGGGGCCGGGGGGGGGUCUCUGGGGAACCAGGCUGGAAAGGACCCUUUCUGCUCCAAAGUCGCCCCUCCUCAUCCCAUUUCAAGCUGGGAUGGUCGGGGGGGGGGCAGCUGUGUAAAUGAACUCUCCUCCCCUCCCCCGUGUAUCCUCCCCUCCCCUCUUCUGGCAGCAAAGUUGUGUUCCUUCAUUUGUUGGUUCCCACCGGUUCCUACGUGGUGUGACGUCCCAGCCGUUUCCCACGGUUGGGGACCAAUGCUUUAAGGGAUGAACGUGCCGAUGUUUCUCUGAGCUUUGUUUAAUGGCUGGGAUAAUUUCCCUGGACGGGCGUCCACCUGGAAAAGCUGCAGGCAUCCCUGUGGCAUCUCGGUCGUCCUUAGAUGGGGGGGGAGCAAAGCAGAGGGGCGUCAAAGGCAUAGGGUGCCCCCUUGGGGCUUUGGGGUGUGAGCGGUCAGAGAGAACUAUUUGUUUGCUUCAUACGAAAUGGUGGGGCCAUUUCUUCUGCUCUUUCUUCACUGCUUCUUGAGGGUUUGAGCCAGCAAAUCAUCAUGCGUUUGAACAGACACAGAGCCACCAAUCCUUGUCCACCUUGAGAAAAAGCCAGUCUGCCCAACAUCCGUUGGUUGGAGAGGUCCUGUUACCUGCAGGGAGUUUGCAGACAAGCAGGACUGCCUUCGCCGGCUGUUGGCACCUGAUGUCCGGGGGGGGGGGAAGAGAGAUGGGGGGGUCUUCCAUGAGGAUGUGCGAUUCCCAAGGGCUGAACCGCUCUGAGGGUUCUCGGAGUCAGUUACUGCGUGAAGCCUGCAGGCUGCGGAGGCAGAAACUGUUGGGGGGAAGCGCCUGCAUGGGCGCCAAGCAAGCUGGAUUUGAGGAAGGGGGUUGAACAGGGAACCGUUUGGCCUGUAAGAGAAUCAGCGUGGCACACCCAGGGCUGCAGGAGAGGCCUAAUCCAGAACCAGCUUUUUACACACAUCUGUGCCCGUUUGCUCCACUGACCCAAGUCAAGUCUUCAGCACCAGUCAUUGUGUUAUUCAGUUUUCCUCCUGGCUAUUCCCUCUCCAGGCGUCGCCUUGUCUGCUGUCCGAUGGGUUUGUCCUUGGCUUCUUUCUGUCUGUUACCAAGCUGGGCAGUUAACAACAUAUUGACCAGAAUCCUGUUUAUGCACCUCUCUGUGUGUAAGGCUGAUAACAUCCUCAGCCUUAUGCAUGUGGUGCUGCAGGAACAGGAUUCUGGCCAUUACACAUGCCAAGUUGCUCAUUUCUAAGGAGAUUUCUUUCUGACUGUCCACAAAUGAUUGGAGGUUUCUGUGAGAGCAGUAGCCCCUCUGCCCCAUCUCUCCAAAGACAGGGAAAAUGAGCCUCUUCCCUUCCUCCGGGGCCCUCUGGGUCUGCAUGAGAGGUGGGAUCACGAGCGUUCUUGGACUGCCACUCCCAGAGUUCCAUAGGCAGUGUGGGUAUGAACCAGGUGAGCCAGCUGCGGUGUUCUGGGAGACGUCGUCCCCGAGGGUGGGGGUUUCUGGGCCAGGGCUCUUUUGGGUCUUCGGAGGCCGUGCUCUGGACCCACGGUGUAGAGAUUCCUGAGGAGGGGCCCAUGGGUGUGCCUCGAUGGGGAGGCUCGCCUUGUGUACGCGCUACGAAGCGGACGUGGCUCUGAUCUGAUUUCCUCCGGUUAUACUCAUAGAAUUAGAAAAGAUUUCUGGUGUGUUGGAAGGAAUGGACGGUGGGUGGGGUGGGGGGAAUAGAGAGUCUAUCUCUUGCCUUUCCAUGAGAUGGGGCCUGCUCAAGUGUCGAGGGACGGGGCCCGCUUGGGCACAGGCAGGGAGGCAGGACCACACAUCAGGCCAGGGCAGCGGGAGACUUACCUGCACGGGAGAGGUGGACCCCCGCAGCCCAGCCCAGCCCAGCCCAGCCUUGCAGACAAGACAGGUCAACCCCAGUAGCCAGCUCUCCUGACUGAACGUUCGCAGGAAGGGUUUCCACGCUGGCUGGGAAAGCGGGAGGCCUCUCCCCUGGGGUCUACUUGGGCGCACAAACGCCUAGCCUCUUGGCUGGCUAGCUGGAAAAGCCCCACCCCACGUGCAGCCCCACGGAUGGCAGAGGAGAGGUGGCGUUCUCCUUCCCUCUUCUGGCAGCCCUUCCGUGGCUGACGUUGCAGAAGAGAACCUCCCACCGCCACGCCACCGCCCUGCUGGCUUCCUUUACGGGAAUUCCUGCUUGCCUUGGAACUUCCCCGUCGUUUGCUUAAUUCAGGGAUGUUCCGCCUUAAUUGGGGCUCCUCAAAGCAGUCCCGGGAGGGCAGGAUCCAGCACCUCGCAGGGCCAAUGGUGGUUUCUGUGAGUGAGGUGGUGGAGGAACCGGGCCAGGGGGCUGCUGGAUCCUCUUAGAUUUCUUCCCACUCUCUUGUCUUCCUUUGGCACCAUGAUCUCUGGGGGGAGGCCCCAGUCUGGGCCUGAUGGGGUUCACAGGCUGGUUCCCCCAAGACUGCCCCUCCUCCCUCCUGCAACUGCUCUCCUGGAGGGGGUGUGACAGCCGCUUGGAUGGAAGAGCUGCAGCUUUAGGGUGAAUGGGAAGCAGCGUUCGUUUGGGGAAAGGGACGGGGUCCGCGGGAGUGGGGAGCACAAUCUUGGUCUUCCCCAUGAGAAUCAGAAGCCCCUCUGUGGAAGACGUCUGGGAUGCUAAGUGUAAUGCUUCAACGAUGCACCUUAUUCCCUUCCCUCUGGCUUGAAUCUCCCUCUUGGUUGAAUAAAAUUGGUCUUCUGCUUUGUUCA